rnacentral:rRNA from 1 species
CCUACGGGAGGCAGCAGUGAGGAAUAUUGGUCAAUGGACGAGAGUCUGAACCAGCCAAGUAGCGUGAAGGAUGACUGCCCUAUGGGUUGUAAACUUCUUUUAUAUGGGAAUAAAUUGUUCUACGUGUGGGAUUUUGUAUGUACCAUAUGAAUAAGGAUCGGCUAACUCCGUGCCAGCAGCCGCGGUAAUACGGAGGUUCCGAGCGUUAUCCGGAGUUAUUGGGGUGAAAGGGGUCGUAGGUGGAUGGUUAAGUCAGUUGUGAAAGUUUGCGGCGUAACCGUAAAAUUGCAGUUGAAACUGGCAGUCUUGAGUACAGUAGAGGUAGGCGGAAUGCGUGGUGUAGCGGUGAAAUGCGUAGAUAUCAGGAAGAACUCCGAUUGCGAAGGCAGCUCGCUGGACUGCAACUGACACUGAGGCUCGAAAGUGUGGGUAUCAAACAGGAUUAGAUACCCGGGUAGUC